rnacentral:lncRNA from 10 species
AGAAGACCAUCGGGACUUGCCAAGUGGCCCCAGCUCAUGGGGUUCAUUCCUUCUUCUCUUAUUGUGUUUAAAAGUGGUAUAAUUAGCAACUUGUUGAAAAUGCUGGCUUACUUCCCGUUACCAGGGCUCAGCACGCCAUACUCCCAAUCAUUGGUCCAAGCAGACAUGUUUACUAAGUGAGUGGGGGAUGAGAAAGAGAAAGGACAGAUGUGAGGGAAAUAGACAGAGCUGAAUAGCACCUCACAAUGAAACACACGAACUCCUGGGAAAUUCUCAUUUUAACACAACUGUAGUUCCCAUGCGUUGGAACCUAAUGUUUACCUUCAUAACGGCUCCAUCAGAAAGGCACUGUCAUCAUAUGAGAAAACCAAGGGUGAAAGAUUAGGUAAUUUGCCCAAGGUCUCUUUAAUAUCUUCCAA